AUUGUGACACCCCCAGCGGAAGCUCCGCCGGUGUUGUUCCCGGUCGCUUGACGCCGGUCUGCUGUGACAACAGAAGCACCGACUCCUCUGGAAUAUUCCUGCCGGGAAACCGCCUAAAAUGACAGACAGGAGGAUUUAACGGAACUAACGGAGCCACGGGACUGAAAGAGGCUCGAUGCUCUCUCGGCCGCUGACGCUCAGUGAGAGUGAUGACAGGGGGCGGGGCCUGGCAGCGGUGACUCCGCCUCCUGCUCUCCCAUUGGCUGAUGAAGAUGAGGAUGAAGAUGACGGCACACAAACAGGCGUUUUCUCUCCUCCUGCACCUCCUUGGAGCUCCUCCUCU